UAAUCAAAAUCCGCUCACUUCCAAAAAAAAAUUUUGGUUACCCGCUCAUUACUCCCUCUUCUUCUCAUCUCAGUAGUGCGCCCUAAAUCCCCCAAAUAAAAGUUUGUUUUUCUUCAGCUGAAAUCCCCCAAAUUUCCCAUUUCCAACAACAGACUUCAAGGAAGAAAACCAGAAGAUGGGAUGGAAUCACCCAUACAUAUCGCUGGAAGAAAUGAUGAAACUGAUAGAAGGGUUUGUUGAUAUCCUGGUUUUGUCUUCUGGGUAUCAAUCCUCUGGUCUUCCCGUUCACUAGGACUUUGAUAACAUCAAGCGAGCCUUUCAAUGGGCCCUCUUCUUUGAAAAUAUCAGUAGUCUGUACCCUUUUUGAAAAUGUCUGAUAAGAGAUGCUAAGUCGGAUUUUGUUCCAGAUCUUCAACAGCAGGUAGUAUAUAAUUUUUCCUUUUGAUGAAUACAAUAUUUCCUCUGCGUUUCGAGAAAGACUAGAACACAUGGAAUAUUCUAAAAACCAACGUCUAAUGCUCCUCUUGGCGGAGAAAGAGCUGCAAGCGCACAAAUCUCAGGUUUUGGAAUCGAAGCUGGCUUGUAUUGGUUCCAUGGAACGAAGUUGCUUGUUUCUUGAUCAAAAGAUCGCAUCACAAAACUUUAGAAUCUCUGCUCUCAAAUCUGAUAUCGAAAAUCUCGACACCAAAUAUGAUUCUAGUUCUCAAAAAUUGAAGGCUGUGAAAAGUGAGAUUGAGGAGCUUGAAGAGGUGGAGAAGGAGAGAGAUAAGUUUUACGAAUUGAAAAUUUCAGAAAUGAAUGAGUUUAGAGAGAAUGUAAAGAGGUUUUUGACGGAAACUCGAACUCGAAUGCAAGAAUUGAGGAACAGUGUAAACGAGGCAAUAAUGGUUAUAGAGUAGUUCUGAGAUAGCUGAGGCAGAGAUGAAAAGGGCUGAACUGUUGGCUAUGAAAGAGAGUUUAACAAAAACCUUAGCUUCAAAUCACCAAAGAAGAGCAGAGUUGCAAAAGCAGAUUGAGAAUAUGCUGGUUGCACGAAGUCCAGAGAGAUGGAAACCAAUCCAGUCUGGCAAUAGCAAAGGUGUCUGAUAACAAUAUGGCAGAUUCAUGAGGAUGAGUCAUGUUGUCGAAUCAAAUUUCUACCAUAAUUCCGGGAGACAACCUUGCAAUAUUGAGAGCAGAGUUAAAGAGUCAAAAUAAGUAUGUGAAAAAUUUGAAGAAAAAAUCUCUUUGGUCUAGAAUUUUGGAAGAGGUCAUGGAGAAGCUUGUAGAUAUCGUUCAUUUCUUGCACUUGGAGAUUCACGAGGCAUUUGGUGCUGCUGGAAUUAGUGGUGCACCUCAAGAUAACAACAUUAUGCUUUGGAAUGCUGUUAUAUUUGGGUAUAUUAUGAAAUAAGACUAGAGAAUAUUUAUGUACUUGCUUUUUAGAUUAAAGUUCUAUUAAAUUGUGCUAAUGUCUUUACUUGAUAGAUUUGCAGACUAAUGCUAAUGUCUAUUAAAUUCUGGUGUUUUGGUUUGAAGCAUCAAUUUUUCUAUGUUCGUUUAGUUGAUUUGUUUGAUUUUCUCUUUAGAAGGUUGCUAUGCUCAAUAUAUGUUGAUGUAAUCUAUUUAAAAUUUCUGAGCUGUUUUAAAAUUUAUUUUGAUUAUUAUGUGAGGUUAGGCAACAAGGUGAAUAAUAUCGAUGAUUAUUACUUUGAUUAUUUAUGGUGCGAAGAUUAUAAGUAUAUCAAGGUGAUCUUUUCUGAUUGUCGUGAAACUUCUGCAUCUCAGCCGAGGUUAGUCUCAAUUGAUCUCAAUUGUCUCCUUGUUCCACUAUUAGCUAAAACAAUAAGGUCGUUGAUUUUCUGACUUGCUUAAUAGAUUAGUUGUUUCAUGUUUGGAAACUUUUGAUGCUUUUGGUCUUUAUGUCUUGUAGUCAUUGAAAAAAAUUUGGUUUUAAUUCUUCACUUAACAAGUCCAGUGGCACAUACAUAUGUAAACUAGGAAUUCAUUGGUUUCAUUGCUGUAAUCUCUCUUAUUCAAUAUCUAAUUCAUUUCCAUGGUUGAGAUAGCUAAGUUGUCAAUUUCCUCGAGUAUUAAUUUUUGCAUUCAUGUUAUUUCCCAUUCAUAUUUAACUUGUCAAUAUCAAUUUUUGUUUUAAUGCACUAUAAUUAUUUUCCCAAUUCUGCAGGGUAUAUGAAGAUUGGAUAACCAGGAAUGUAGCAGAUGUAGUUUGCAUUGUAUUUUUUAUUACCAAGAUUUACUUGAUUAAGAAAAUGUAUUGUAUUUUUAUUACCUUUCAAUGUGUAUAGUUAUUGGCAAGUUCAACUAGUCA